rnacentral:rRNA from 1 species
UACAGAGGUCUCAAGCGUUGUUCGGAAUUACUGGGCGUAAAGGGUGCACAGGCCGCGCGGGCAGUCAAAUGUGUAAUCCAGGGGCUCAACCCCUGAACUGCGCUUGAUACUUCCGCGCUCGAGCUUUGGAGAGGAGUCUGGAAUUCUCGGUGUAGCAGUGAAAUGCGUGGAUAUCGAGAAGAACACUUAGGGCGUAGGCAAGACUCUGGACAAAAUGCUGACGCUCAUGCACGAAGGCUAGGGGUAGCGAACGGG